rnacentral:rRNA from 1 species
AGUGAACGCUGGCGGUAGGCCUAACACAUGCCAGUCGAACGGCAGCACAGUAAGAGCUUGCUCUUACGGGUGGCGAGUGGCGGACGGGUGAGGAAUACAUCGGAAUCUACUUUUUCGUGGGGGAUAACGUAGGGAAACUUACGCUAAUACCGCAUACGACCUACGGGUGAAAGCAGGGGAUCUUCGGACCUUGCGCGAUUGAAUGAGCCGAUGUCGGAUUAGCUAGUUGGCGGGGUAAAGGCCCACCAAGGCGACGAUCCGUAGCUGGUCUGAGAGGAUGAUCAGCCACACUGGAACUGAGACACGGUCCAGACUCCUACGGGAGGCAGCAGUGGGGAAUAUUGGACAAUGGGCGCAAGCCUGAUCCAGCCAUACCGGGUGGGUGAAGAAGGCCUUCGGGUGGUAAAGCCCUUUUGUUGGGAAAGAAAAGCAGCAGGUUAAUCCCCCGCUGUUCUGACGGUACCCAAAGAAUAAGCACCGGCUAACUUCGU